UGUUCGGUAGUGUUCGAAAGCAGAACUCGACAAUAUUUUUUGUUUACAUUGGCGACGGCAAGUGAAAUUUUGAUUUCGUCUAUCCGAAAGUAUGCUGUUGACAUAAUGUAUGCCUCUCCUCGUCAUGAACGAUCGUGUAAUUUUCUUGAGGUGCACAGAACUUUCGUUCAAUUGGAAACAACUUCAAAAACACAUAUGGAAAGGUGCUGUGUCCGAGUACACCUGCACCUUAACCUAGGAAGUAGAUAUAUAACCUGAAGGCCCUUAUGUAUUCCACCAAAUGAAAGACUGCAAUUCCAUUUCAGCUCAGUAUUCCCAUAAAGCUGAUUGGUCAACACUACAGAACCUUAUGCAGGAGCCCUGGAUUCGAUUCUCGGAACUGCCAGAGAUUUUUUCUUGGUGAGAGGACUGAAGCUAGAAUAAACUCAGCCUCGUGAUGCCAAUUGAGUAGCCACCGUAUUGAGAGGUAGCGGCUCCCUGGGCGAAAGUCGAUAACAGUUCGGAGUGUGGUAUGCUGACCCCAUGCCGAUCCCUACCGCAUCCAAUGAUGAAUAACCGAGGAUGACAUGGCAGUUGGUUGAUUGAUGCGUAUAUAUAUAUUUUCAGAAAAGUGUACACCUCUUUCAGUUAUAUGCUCUGUAAUUUAGGGGGGGAAAAUCAUAUCAUAAGAGGUAAGAGAUAGUAACAACACUAAUUUAUGUUCUUUGAAAUGGAUUAUAUGUUAUUUCUUUGUAUCUGAACAUUGCUGCGAUAUUUUGUGUUUUUUUUUUAUUAUUAUUAUACACAUUUGUUCCUCUAAUCACAAGUCUUGUUGUGUUUAUGUUGUUGUGUAAUACUUGUUGUUGUUCAACCUGUACAUCAUUUUUAAAGAAAUAAAACUGUACUUGAAAAUGACUACGAGUAAAACCUACUACUGGGCUUGCAAAGGGUGACACCAUCAAGAUGUAAAGACAAUGCAGAUAUUACAUAGGCCGGUUAAUUAAUUUUAAUGGGAAACUGUUAUUUGCUUGAUCUGUUUUUUUAACAUUUGGGAAAAAGUUUAGUGCUUGUUCAUGUUUUUCACACAUUUUACACAUAUUUUGACAACAUAUCAAUGUUUUGUAUUAGUACAGUGGCUGUUCUAGAAAUAUAUGUUUGUUUAGCUACUGAGGAUAAUCUAUUUGAGUGUGGAGCAAUCCUCAUUUUUCAGAAUGUUGUCUAAUAGGAUUCACUCUCUUGCACUUAUAUUUAUUUUCUGUAACCAAAAGUCAAACAUUUAUAAAACUGAUUUAUAUUGGGUAAUACGCUGUGAAAUUUUAAUAGUCUCAUGGAAAUCUAAGCAGCUGAAAAAAAAAGAAAAAAAAUGUAUGUGAUACACUCACGGAAAUCUAAGAAGCUUAAACAAAAAAAAUUGUAUCUAAUACUCUUUUUGUGUAAUAUUUUCUUGUGUUUUUCUUUGUGAUAUCUUAAUUUCUUUUCACUUUUUAUUUUAUAUAAAUUAUGGAAACACUUUGACAAAAAGACUUUUUAAAGAAUGUGUGCAGUGCAGUAUCAGGACUGUGUGUUGAAAAUGACAAAAUCUUUUGUUGUAAUAACCCUGAGAUUAAUAUGCUGUACUACAGAUAUGUCAGUGUUGCACCAAGCAUUACACAUUUGUUGAACUCUUACUGUUCUUGCUGUAUUCAAGUUUUAUGCAAUUUUUCUACAACUGUUUCUUGGAUGAUACUAACAAUCAUAUUUUUAAUCAUGGAAUUUUCUCUAUUAUUUUCAGACUGUAUGGCUAUGUCUGGCUUCCAUAUCUUUUAUGCACACGGAGAAGGAGGGCAAACAUUUUUCCCUUUAGUUGUUCGAAUUUUGGUGCAGUAUAUAAGAUUUUUACUUUUUAAGUUAACUGGUUAUUUUGCUUCAUUUUUGCCCAGUUAUU